rnacentral:lncRNA from 10 species
CACACCCCAACCCUGUAACCCUAACACACACAGUCACACGCUCCCUGUACUCACUGACACACCCCACCCCUGUAACUCUAACACACACACAUGCUCCCUGUACUCACUGACACACCCCACCCCUGUAACUCUAACACACACACUCACACGCUCCCUGUACCCACUGACACAGCUCACCCCUGUAACUCUAACACACACUCACACGCUCCCUGUACUCACUGACACACCCCACCCCGUAACUCUAACACACAAACUCACACGCUCCCUGUACUGACACACCCCACCCCUGUAACUCUAACACACACACUCACACGCUCCCUGUACCCACUGACACACCUCACCCCUGUAACUCUAACACACACACUCACACGCUCCCUGUACAGUUUUGUUGCUUUUUAAGCUAGAUGGAUAUUCCAUUCUACACUGUCAUAACCAGGUGCUAUGGUUUGAAUGUGUCCGCUAAACUUCACGUUAGAAAGGUAAACCUCCAGUUUGUAUGUUGAUUGGAGGUGGGGCCUUUGCCAAGUAAUUAGGAUUAGGUAGGGUCAGCAGGGUGGGGCCCUGAUGAUGGUACUGGUGGCCUUACAAGGAGAGGAAGACACCUGAGCUGACGGGCUUGCGCGAUGCCCUCUGCCAGGUUAUGACGCAGCAGGAGGCCCUCCCCAGAUGCAGCCCCUCAACCUUGGACUUCCCAGCCUCCAGAACUGUAAGAAAUGCAUUUAUUUUCUUUAUAAAUUACCCAGUUUGUGGUAUUCUGUUACAGCAACAGAAAAUGACACCAGGUAGACGCCAUCCACAGCUGAACCACCAUAUGGACACUUGAAGUCUGCUGGAACCCCCGGAUGUGGGGCCCUCUGACCCCAGAUGAGGGCGUCAGUGAUGCUGCGGUGCUGCACCUGCCCGACCCCUGCACCUGACCCGGGGCCUCUUCUCCAUCCCUCAGCCACAGCCCAGAACGUCUGGACACUGGGCCCAGCGAGCAGCGACCAAACUCAUUUCAAGUCUCUCUUUUUUUCUCUAAAAUCAAUGCUGUUCCAAAGAUAAACCCUCUAACGCAGCCAUGUCUGCCUAGAGAAAUCCUCAAACCAUAUCCUUUCAUAGCUAUGUUCAAAUUCAAUUUGUGAGAAGACUCUUCUUUUCAUAAGCCCAUUGAUGGAGCCAUUUUGUUUCAGUCUUUGCAGUUUUUUUUGUUUUUGUUUUUGUUUUUUACCUUAUCUCCCAUCUGUGUGUUUGCUCUUUCGUUAUUUACCGUUUCUCCUUCUCUGUGUUACCUUACGUUUUGGUCCACGAGAAACUAAGAAACAUUUUUGACAUCAGCAGUGUUAGCGUUAGGAUAAUACAAUUCAAGCUCACUGCACUUAGCUGAUUAACUUACCAUGUACUCUGUCCAUCAAAAUAUAAUAAAGAUAUACAAAGCUUCUAGAACAAAGCCCGUCAGAAUGUUCACUGAGUGAGUCAGAAAACAGGGACAAAAAGAUAAUU